rnacentral:rRNA from 1 species
GACGAACGCUGGCGGCGUGCUUAACACAUGCAAGUCGAACGGGCAUGCCCUGCUUUUGUGGGGUGCUCGAGUGGCGAACGGGUGAGUAAGACGUGCGUGACUUGCCCUCGACUUUGGGAUAACUUCAGGAAACUGGGGCCAAUACCGGCCAGGAACUCCUUCUUCACGGUGGGGGUUCGAGAGUUUCGGCGGUUGGGGAUGGACGCGCGGCUUCUCAGCUUGUUGGUGUGGUAGUGGCUUACCGAGGCUUUGACGGGUAGCCGGACUGCGAGGGUGACCGGCCACAUUGGGACUGGGCUACGGCGCAGACUAGUAGGGGAGGCAGCAGUGGAGAGUGUUGCACACUGGGCGGGAGCCUGAGGCAGCAACGCCGCGUCCGGGAUGACGGGAUUCGGGUUGGACACCGCUUUCGCCUGUGACGAAGCGUGAGUGACGGUAAUGGGUAAAGAAGCACCGGCUAACUACGUG